rnacentral:rRNA from 1 species
AUUGAACGCUGGCGGCAUGCUUUACACAUGCAAGUCGAACGGUAACAGGGUGCUUGCACCGCUGACGAGUGGCGAACGGGUGAGUAAUGCGUCGGAACGUGCCGAGUAGUGGGGGAUAACGCAGCGAAAGUUGUGCUAAUACCGCAUACGUACUGAGGUAGAAAGUGGGGGACCUUCGGGCCUCACGCUAUUCGAGCGGCCGACGUCUGAUUAGCUAGUAGGUGAGGUAAAGGCUCACCUAGGCGACGAUCAGUAGCGGGUCUGAGAGGAUGAUCCGCCACACUGGGACUGAGACACGGCCCAGACUCCUACGGGAGGCAGCAGUGGGGAAUUUUGGACAAUGGGCGAAAGCCUGAUCCAGCCAUGCCGCGUGUCUGAAGAAGGCCUUCGGGUUGUAAAGGACUUUUGUCGGGGAGGAAAUCCCCAGCGUUAAUACCGCUGGGGGAUGGCAGUACCUGAAGAAUAAGCACCGGCUAACUACGUGCCAGCAGCCGCAGUAAGAC